rnacentral:rRNA from 1 species
AUCCACCUACGGGGGGCAGCAGUGGGGGAUAUUGCACAAUGGGGGGAACCCUGAUGCAGCGACGCCGCGUGGGUGAAGGAGUACUCCGGUAUGUAAAGCCCUGUCAGCAGGGAAGAAAAUGACGGUACCUGACCGAGAAGCCCCGGCUAACUACGUGCCAGCAGCCGCGGUAAUACGUAGGGGGCAAGCGUUAUCCGGAUUUACUGGGUGUAAAGGGAGCGUAGACGGCAAGGCAAGUCUGGAGUGAAAGCCCGUGGCCCAACCACGGGACUGCUUUGGAAACUGUGUUGCUGGAGUGCAGGAGG